UGUCACUGUUAGGGGUGUUCUUUUCCUGAAAGAGCUGAGAUUAAACCCUUGAACCUGAUGUGCUGUAAUGGGCAUCGUAGGAAAACGGUCGUGUUUUAGA
rnacentral:ncRNA from 1 species